rnacentral:rRNA from 1 species
GAUGAACGCUGGCGGCGUGCCUAAUACAUGCAAGUCGAGCGAACAGAUGAGGAGCUUGCUCCUCUGACGUUAGCGGCGGACGGGUGAGUAACACGUGGAUAACCUACCUAUAAGACUGGGAUAACUUCGGGAAACCGGAGCUACUACCGGAUAAUAUAUUGAACCGCAUGGUUCAAUAGUGAAAGACGGUUUUGCUGUCACUUAUAGAUGGAUCCGCGCCGCAUUAGCUAGUUGGUAAGGUAACGGCUUACCAAGGCGACGAUGCGUAGCCGACCUGAGAGGGUGAUCGGCCACACUGGAACUGAGACACGGUCCAGACUCCUACGGGAGGCAGCAGUAGGGAAUCUUCCGCAAUGGGCGAAAGCCUGACGGAGCAACGCCGCGUGAGUGAUGAAGGUCUUCGGAUCGUAAAACUCUGUUAUUAGGGAAGAACAAAUGUGUAAGUAACUAUGCACGUCUUGACGGUACCUAAUCAGAAAGCCACGGCUAACUACGUG